AGGACGAACGCUGGCGGCGCGCCUCAUACAUGCAAGUCGAACGAGAAGCCCGGAGCUUGCUCUGGGUGGAAAGUGGCGAACGGGUGAGGAACACGUGAGGAACCUGCCCUGGAGACCGGGAUAACACCGGGAAACCGGUGCUAAUACCGGAUGCCCUCAUCGGACCGCAUGGUCUGAUGAGGAAAUGGAUUCCGCUCCAGGAUGGUCUCGCGGCCUAUCAGCUUGUUGGCGGGUAACGGCCCACCAAGGCAUCGACGGGUAGCUGGUCUGAGAGGAUGUCCAGCCACACUGGGACUGAGACACGGCCCAGACUCCUACGGGAGGCAGCAGUAGGGAAUCUUGCACAAUGGGCGAAAGCCUGAUGCAGCGACGCCGCGUGCGGGAUGACGGCCUCGGGUUGUAAACCGCUUUCAGCAGGGACGAAAUUGACGGUACCUGCAGAAGAAGCCCCGGCAACUACGUGCCAGCAGCCGU
rnacentral:rRNA from 1 species